CUGUUAGUGAUUGGAAUAAUUCAUUAUUACAGAAUUUGCAUCAAUGUGAAGUUCUAAAUUUAUACAGCAAUUUAGUGUGUUCAUUUGCAGUUAGAUGGCAUUAGUUUUGAUGAUGGAGAGUCUCCAUUGUAGACCUCUCAAAGUUGAAAAGGUGAUUUCUUGGAUGCAAUUGAGCACUAAACCUGUUUUUUCUGAAUUGGUGGCUCAAUAAUCUCAGCAUGGUUAUACAUAAGGGCUGGCACUAACGGGCUACCAUAGACAAGCCACUUGAGAUCGAAAAAGCAUAUGAUCUUGAGGCACACACACUUAUUUCCCUCUUUUCUUUGUGUGGAAAUUAUAUAUAUUCUACUAGCUAGUGGGAAAAAUUGGCCUUAUAAUCAAGGUCUAUAAUUCAGUAGAACUCUUGUUAUCUUGUUAUUUGGCAUUUUGAUCAAAGUAUACAUUUCAAUGAAAUUUGAACUCUAUUGGAACAA